GGACCGAUGGUGUAGUUGGUUAUCACGUCUGUCUAACACCUGAAGGUGCACAGACGGUCCUCAGUUCAAGUCUGGGUCGGUUCA